rnacentral:rRNA from 1 species
UACGGGGGGGGCAAGCGUUGUUCGGAAUUACUGGGCGUAAAGGGCGCGUAGGCGGCCAUCUAAGUCAGACGUGAAAUCCCUCGGCUCAACCGAGGAACUGCGUCUGAUACUGGAAGGCUUGAAUCCGGGAGAGGUGAGUGGAACUGCGAGUGUAGAGGUGAAAUUCGUAGAUAUUCGCAAGAACACCAGUGGCGAAGGCAGCCAUCUGGACCGACACUGACGCUGAGGCGCGAAAGCGUGGGGAGCAAACAGGG